GGAAUAAAAGUCGUAACAAGGUUUCCGUAGGUGAGCCUGCGGAAGGAUCAUUAUUGUAUAACCGAGGUGCGAGGGCUGUCGCUGACCCGAAAGGUCGUGCACGCCCGAGUGCCCUCACACACAUCCAUCUCACCCCUAUGUGCACCACCGCGUGGGUCCCCCUUUGGCUUGUUCGGAGGGGGGCUUACGUUUUCACACAAACUUUGUAUGCAGUGUAGAAUGUAUUUUUUGUUUUUGCGAUCACGCAAUCAAUACAACUUUCAACAACGGAUCUCUUGGCUCUC
rnacentral:misc_RNA from 1 species